UUUAAAUGGCCGCAGUACCUUGACUGUGCUAAGGUAGCAUAAUCAAUUGGCUUCUAAUUAAAGUCUGGAAUGAAAGGAAAUAUGAAGUAAUUCUAUCUUAAAGGAUUUUUUUUGAAUUUAUUUAAAUGAUGAAAAUAUCAUUUUAUAGAAAAAAGACGAGAAGACCCUUAGAGUUUUGAUAUUUAUAUAUUUUUGUUGGGGCGACAGGUAAACAUAUAACUUUACGAAUUAUCAUUGAUCGAUUUUUUAUAAGAAUAAUAAAACUACCUUAGGGAUAACAGCAUUAUAUUUUUUUUUAUGAUUGUGACCUC
rnacentral:rRNA from 1 species